UACGUAGGCAGCGAGCGUUGUUCGGAGUUACUGGGCGUAAAGAGUGCGUAGGCGGUUUUCUAAGUUUGGUGUGAAAUCUCCCGGCUUAACUGGGAGGGUGCGCCGAAGACUGGAAGGCUUGAGUAUGGGAGAGGUAAGCGGAAUUCCUGGUGUAGCGGUGAAAUGCGUAGAUAUCAGGAGGAACACCAGUGGCGAAGGCGAGUCUCUGGACGAGUCCUGACACUGAGGCACGAAAGCCAGGGGAGCAAACAGG
rnacentral:rRNA from 1 species